UACGGGGGGGGCAAGCGUUGUUCGGAAUUACUGGGCGUAAAGGGCUCGUAGGUGGCCAACUAAGUCAGACGUGAAAUCCCGCGGCUUAACCGGGGAACUGCGUCUGAUACUGGAUGGCUUGAGUUUGGGAGAGGGAUGCGGAAUUCCAGGUGUAGCGGUGAAAUGCGUAGAUAUCUGGAGGAACACCGGUGGCGAAGGCGGCAUCCUGGACCAGCACUGACGCUGAGGAGCGAAAGCCAGGGGAGCAAACGGG
rnacentral:rRNA from 1 species